rnacentral:rRNA from 1 species
GUGGGGAAUUUUGGACAAUGGGCGAAAGCCUGAUCCAGCAAUGCCGUGUGUGUGAAGAAGGUCUUCGGAUUGUAAAGCACUUUAAGUUGGGAGGAAGGGCAGUAAGUUAAUACCUUGCUGUUUUGACGUUACCGACAGAAUAAGCACCGGCUAACUUCGUGCCAGCAGCCGCGGUAAUACGAAGGGUGCAAGCGUUAAUCGGAAUUACUGGGCGUAAAGCGCGCGAAGGUGGUUUUGUAAGUUGGAGGUGAAAUCCCCGGGCUCAACCUGGGAACUGCCUCCAAAACUGCAUGACUAGAGUACGGUAGAGGGUAGUGGAAUUUCCUGUGUAGCGGUGAAAUGCGUAGAUAUAGGAAGGAACACCAGUGGCGAAGGCGACUACCUGGACUGAUACUGACACUGAGGUGCGAAAGCGUGGGGAGCAAACAGGAUUAGAUACCCUUGUAGUCC